GCGAAAACUUUACAAUGCUGGCAACAGCGAUAAGGGAACCUCGAGUGCCAGGUUACAAAUCUGGCUGUCGAGAUGCCUAAAAAGCAUUUCAUAGCAAGGGCCGGGCAAGACCGGUGCCAGCCGCCGCGGUAACACCGGCGGCUCGAGUGGUAACCGUUAUUAUUGGGUCUAAAGGGUCUGUAGCCGGCCGGAUAAGUCUCUUGAGAAAUCUGGCAGCUUAACUGUCAGGCUUUCAGGAGAUACUGUCUGGCUCGAGGCCGGGAGAGGUGAGAGGUACUUCAGGGGUAGGAGUGAAAUCUUGUAAUCCUUGAGGGACCACCAGUGGCGAAGGCGUCUCACCAGAACGGACCUGACGGCAAGGGACGAAAGCUAGGGGCACGAACC
rnacentral:rRNA from 1 species